UACGGAGGGUGCGAGCGUUGUCCGGAAUCAUGGGGCGUAGAGGGCGCGUAGGUGGCCCGGUCAGUCUUUGGGGAAAGCGCGGGGCUCAACCCUGCGUCGGCCAGGGAUACUGCCGCGGCUCGAGCACUGUAGAGGCAGGCGGAAUUCCGGGUGUAGCGGUGGAAUGCGUAGAUAUCCGGAGGAACACCGGUGGCGAAGGCGGCUUCCUGGACCGACACUGACGCUGAGGCGCGAAAGCUAGGGGAGCAAACGGG
rnacentral:rRNA from 1 species